GCUACCGUAGCGCAGAGGAUAGCAUGUCGGCCUUUGACGCUGAACGCCGGGGUUCGAAUCCCUGCGAGACCA
rnacentral:tRNA from 1 species